rnacentral:sRNA from 1 species
AGGUGCUGCUGGAGAGAGAGCUGGCCAAGCUGAGCGCCGAGCUGGACAAGGACCUGCGGGCAAUUGAGACCCGACUGCCGUCCCCCAAGAGCUCGCCGGCGCCCCGACGGGCCCCGGAGCAGCGGCCCCAGGCCGGACCCUAGUGCCUCUAACGGAGGGGGCAGCCCAGCCAGGAGGGAAGAGAAGAAGGUAAGGAGGGGACCAGGUGUGGGGGACCUGGAGUGGUCCCAAGGCUGCCAUCCUGGAUCUGCCACCCGCCCAACUGAGAUAGCCCACUCUGUCCUCUCCCCUGCCUAGAGGAAGGCCGCCAGGCUCAAGUUUGACUUCCAGGCUCAGUCCCCCAAGGAGCUGACUCUGCAGAAGGGUGACAUUGUCUACAUCCACAAGGAGGUGGACAAGAACUGGCUGGAGGGAGAGCACCACGGCCGCCUGGGCAUCUUCCCUGCUAAUUAUGUGGAGGUGCUGCCCGCAGAUGAGAUCCCGAAGCCCAUCAAGCCCCCGACCUACCAGGUGCUGGAGUAUGGAGAGGCUGUGGCCCAGUACACCUUCAAGGGGGACCU